UCCAACUCUUGUUUCCAAAAAGGGACAUGGCUGACCUCCAUAGGUGGAACUCAGAAUCAUGGACUGCCACUAAAAUGUUGACAUCUCCACAGGAAAGUUAACACAAGAGAAGGACCAGCUGACCAGUCACACAUUUGUAAUCCAAUCCAUAUUAUUGAACAGCACAUACUUGGCAACUGUCACUCCAGUCCAGAUGUGUCUGCCUUGAAUCCACUGUGGAACUGGCAUACUGACUGCCGUACACUUCUUGCAUGAAUCACUGCUUCUACUCUUUCUUCUGUUUGAGAAGACUUUCUGGUUCACAUCCCAAGAAAGUUUCAUGAGGGCUAGAAGACACAAAGAAAAGUUCAGGAGGGAUUCUGGUGAGUGCUGAAAUUUUUUACAAAACUGCAUGUUUAAAAUAACUGAGUGGAACCCUGUAAUAUAAGCUGAAUUCCCUCACUGACUGAUGACAAUCCUAGUAAAUAUACACAGCAUAACCCUGAUGAACUGAAACUUCUGGUUUACUGAGGUUCAUUUACAUUGACUGUCCUGCAUCUUCCUAGCAUGCUGGAGAAGUGAGCUGGCCAGUAGACUUUCACAUAUAUGCUCCAGAGUUGGGAACCCCGACUUAAAUGAGCUCAGACUUAGAUUCAUAGAUUUUAAAGCCAGAAAGGACCAUUACACCGCCUAGUCGACCUCUUGCACUUCACAGACCAUAGAAUUUCACCCAGUUACCUUUGUAUUGAGCCCCAAUAACUUGUUUCGCUCAAGCAUGUCUCCCAGGAAGUCAUCUAGUCUUGAUUCGGAGAUGUCAAGAGAUGAUAGUUUAUUAUAAUGGUUAAUCCUCAAAGCUUCUUGGGCUGACUCCGUCAACCAUUUUGAACCUCUGACUAUCUGAAGUUUUCAGAUGUUCCCC
rnacentral:lncRNA from 1 species